GACGAACGCUGGCGGCAUGCCUAAUACAUGCAAGUCGAGCGAACAGAUGAAGUGCUUGCACUUCUGACGUUAGCGGCGAACGGGUGAGUAACACGUAAGGAAUCUACCUAUAAGCGGGGGAUAACAUUCGGAAACGGGUGCUAAUACCGCAUAAUAUCUUCUUCCGCAUGGAAGAAGAUUGAAAGACGGCUCUGCUGUCACUUAUAGAUGACCUUGCGGUGCAUUAGUUAGUUGGUGGGGUAACGGCCUACCAAGACGAUGAUGCAUAGCCGACCUGAGAGGGUGAUAGGCCAGAUUGGGACAGAGAGACGGCCCAAACUCCUACGGGAGGCAGCAGUAGGGAAUCUUCCGCAAUGGGCGAAAGCCCGACGGAGCAAUGCCGCGUGAGUGAAGAAGGCCUUCGGGUCGUAAAACUCUGUUAUAAGAGAAGAACAAAUUGUAGAGUAACUGCUACAGUCUUGACGGUAUCUUAUCAGAAAGCCACGGCUAACUACGUGCCAGCCGCCGCCGUAA
rnacentral:rRNA from 1 species